rnacentral:lncRNA from 1 species
GUGCCUCAGACUUUCUCCCCUCAGCUUGAGACUGCAUGUAAACUGGGAUGUGUGAAAGCAGGAAGCAAAGCUAGUGACAGCUGAGAGGUCCAUGUCUGGGUAGAACCAGGCGGGUGUGAAACCUGUGUAUACUGAAGGCUGACUUUUCAUACACAUGUGGUCCACAGGGUGGACCGCAGGACCUGAGUGUAUGUGUAUUUGGAUAUGACAGGGGUAGAAUCAGUACCCCGCAUGUUCCGAGAAAUAAUUUACUAUGGUAAACUGCGCUGAAAAAGAAGUCUUAAGUCAUGUUUAGAAGGUAGUUGUUCUUAGCAAGGAAAAGGGAAGCUG